CUUCAGUGAGCCCAUCCACAGCGGCUGUUCCCGGUCCUGCCCGUAGGUGGCGAUCAGGGCCUGGGCUUC
rnacentral:antisense_RNA from 1 species